AAUAACGGUACUUGAGGAGGAAAGCCCCGGCUAACUACGUGCCAGCAGCCGCGGUAAUACGUAGGGGGCUAGCGUUAUCCGGAAUUACUGGGCGUAAAGGGUGCGUAGGUGGUAUUUUUAAGUCAGAAGUGAAAGGCUACGGCUCAACCGUAGUAAGCUUUUGAAACUAGAGAACUUGAGGUGCAGGAGAGGAGAGUAGAAUUCCUAGUGUAGCGGUGAAAUGCGUAGAUAUUAGGAGGAAUACCAGUAGCGAAGGCGGCUCUCUGGACUGUAAACUGAC
rnacentral:rRNA from 1 species